CCAGGCCCCCCAAAGCUACAUAUUUUGACCACUUUCCCUGUAUUAUACAUUGUGCUGUGCAAUUUUGCAGCACCUUAGCUAAUGUUCACUAUAACAAUCCAAUGAAGUAGAUAUUUAUCCCUUACCUUCCUAAGGAAAUACAGAAAAAAAGAUAAGCUAUCCAAGGUACAACCACCAAGAUAAAAACUCCUCUGUCCUGAAUUCAAGGUUUUGUUCUUUCUGAUACCCUAUGCUGCCAUAAGAUGGUGGCUUAAGAGAGAAAGAACUGUGUGGUGAAAUUGCAAGGGAAAGUUGAAAUAAAUUCCAGUGAUGAUGUCUUGGGAAAGGUGGUAUAGACAGAUGACCUGUACCUCUGAAGAUGAACUGAGAAUAAUAUUUGAUGGCCUGGGAGGAGAUUUAAAGAAAUAAAAGUUUCUCACCUGAGUAAAGCCCAGGCUUUCAGAGGAAGAGGCAAAAUGUGUAUAGUAGACCUGAGAUGGCCAAGUGCUCUUACUCAGAAAAGGGAUUGAAGGGUCUAGCUGCUCCAUAACAGUUUUUUAACCAAAUGCCUUGGAUUCAGGCCCUCUGAACCUACCUCCUACAAUAGUGUCUGGUAUGUCCUAAAUAUUUCUGGGUUUUCUUCUUUGUAUCUUAGGAUAAUACUGUACAUUUAAUUUUAUAGCCAGCUUUUUUUCCUAAUGUUUCAUUAUGAGAAUUCUGUCAAAGAAAAGGUCUUGUUGCCAAAAUGUCCUCUCCAAUUGUCUUUAAGCCACCAUAGGGAGAGCGUUUUAGAUUCUUGCCAGAUUUCAAGCCAAGGUCGAUACAUGUAUAAUGUAAGUGCUUAUAAAACAGCAGGAAGGAACACCAUCUGCAUAAAAAUAAAUAAAUAAACGGUGUCUUGGGACACUUAUCCUCAUCCUAGUACAUCUUGGGUGGUUUAACUUUUAAAUAAGAUAUCAUGC
rnacentral:lncRNA from 1 species